CCUACGGGUGGCAGCAGUGGGGAAUAUUGCACAAUGGGGGAAACCCUGAUGCAGCGACGCCGCGUGAGUGAAGAAGUAAUUCGUUACGUAAAGCUCUAUCAGUAGGGAAGAAAAUGACGGUACCUGUGUCAGAAUCCCCGGCUAACUACGUGCCAGCAGCCGCGGGAAUACGUAGGGGGCAAGCGUUAUCCGGAUUUACUGGGUGUUAAGGGAGCGUAGACGGUGUGCCAAGUCUGGAGUGAAAUGCCGCAGGUUAACUGCGGAACUGCUUUGGAAACUGGCGAAUUAGAGUGCGGGAGGGGUAAGCGGAAUGCGUGGUGUAGCGGUGAAAUGCGUAGAUAGUAGGAAGAACACCGGUGGCGAAGGCGGCUUACUGGACCGUAACUGACGUUGAGGCUCGAAAGCGUGGGGAGCAAACAGGAUUAGAUACCCCAGUAGUC
rnacentral:rRNA from 1 species